rnacentral:rRNA from 1 species
GAUGAACGCUGGCGGCGUGCCUAAUACAUGCAAGUCGAGCGAACGGACGAGAAGCUUGCUUCUCUGAUGUUAGCGGCGGACGGGUGAGUAACACGUGGAUAACCUACCUAUAAGACUGGGAUAACUUCGGGAAACCGGAGCUAAUACCGGAUAAUAUUUUGAACCGCAUGGUUCAAAAGUGAAAGACGGUCUUGCUGUCACUUAUAGAUGGAUCCGCGCUGCAUUAGCUAGUUGGUAAGGUAACGGCUUACCAAGGCAACGAUGCAUAACCGACCUGAGAGGGUGAUCGGCCACACUGGAACUGAGACACGGUCCAGACUCCUACGGGAGGCAGCAGUAGGGAAUCUUCCGCAAUGGGCGAAAGCCUGACGGAGCAACGCCGCGUGAGUGAUGAAGGUCUUCGGAUCGUAAAACUCUGUUAUUAGGGAAGAACAUAUGUGUAAGUAACUGUGCACAUCUUGACGGUACCUAGUCAGAAAGCCACGGCUAACUACGUG